UUAGGUGAACCUGCGGAAGGAUCAUUACCA
rnacentral:rRNA from 1 species